GAUGAACGCUGGCGGCGUGCUUAAUACAUGCAAGUCGAACGGACAGGCCCUGCUCUUGCGGGGCGCUCGAGUGGCGAACGGGUGAGUAACGCGCGAGUAACAUCUCCUUGACUUUCGGAGAACUUUACGAAACAGGGGCUAAUACAGGAUAGAAGCUCCUGAUGCACGGGGGGCGUUGGUAAGAGACGGCGGUUGGGGCUGGACUCGCGGCUUAUCAGCUUGUUGGUGGGGUAGUGGCUUACCAAGUCUUUGACGGGUAGCCGGCCUGAGAGGGUGACCGGCCACAUUGGGACUGCGAUACGGCCCAGACUCCUACGGGAGGCAGCAGUGGGGAAUAUUGCACAAUGGGCGGAAGCCUGAUGCAGCAACGCCGCGUGCGGGAUGACGGCCUUCGGGUUGUAAACCGCUUUCGCCUGUGACGAAGCGUGAGUGACGGUAAUGGGUAAAGAAGCACCGGCUAACUACGUG
rnacentral:rRNA from 1 species